CUGCGCCAGGAUAGCUUGAAGAAAGCCGCAUGUAAACAUCAGGAUCGGCUUCCGAUUUUCAAAGUUGGUGCCCCGCCAGACCGCCCAAAAAAACUAUCCUGCGUCUCUCGACGUAAGUGGAGGCCCGCCAGUCUCCCUCUGACUCAUUGCUAUCUUGGUCAGUGUUGAGGUGGGGAAAUGAUAGCUGGGUAAACUCAAAUAAUUUCUCACUGGAAAGAAAUAAGAAGCAAAGCACUUAAUACUUUUAACGAGGAUUUCCAGAAAAGGUUAGUAAACUGUCACACAACAUUAAAAAAGGUACCCUGUUUACUUACGUCUACACCGCUGAACUACGUCAGCCGUGCAUCAUCUGGGUGACAUGAACGCUCACAAUUCAGCUUUUAUGGAAAUGUACUCAAUGUGAAAUGUGUUUGGAUCUGACACUGCAGAAAAAUCCCAGUGGCUGACACGGCACCAUUAGCGCUAUCCCUAAUUAUGGCCUGAGUCUGAGAUCAAGUUGAGGUACAAAUUACAGAACAUCUAAGUGACAGUCUACCCACUGAUUCACAGCCCUUGUAAUGCACUCCAUUAUUUACAACAGUAAACAUGUCUUUUUCUCCUUCUCUUUCUCCCUCUAACUCUGUCUCCCCCUCUCCUUGUCGGUGCGUGCCCGCGGCCAUGAUGACAGGUGUUUUGUGGAAAUACUUGAAUGAACGGGGUUGCAGGAGAUUUCGUCUGUCUGCGUCAUAGUUAGCGGAACAUGGGGUCAGAGGUGCAUCUUGUCCAAUGAGGUCUGUGGAGGAAAAAAAAAAACGGCCUCUCGUCACCUUGAAACGAAGACAACCCUGGUGAAAAUAAAAACGGCCUUCCGUCACCUGGAAACGAAGACAAAGGGAGAACUGAUGUCAUAUUCAACUCUAAAUCAGUAUUUCGUUUCAAAUGGGUCUACAUUGGGUUGAACUGUUUUAUUAUAUUAAACAUUAACAUGUACACGUUGUAGAGCAAACACAUGGACAUGCCGAGCAGUAGCGUUUGUUUGAAUUAUUGUGGAAUAUUAUAUUGAGUCUUAACUUUCUAUAAACCUUUCAGCGGGAUUUACAUUACCUUCAUAUUACCUAUCCCAAGAUACUGACAAAGAGACAUAUUAUUUUAAGCUGCUAGCUUGACAUUUGGUUAUGGACAUCAAUGAAUCAGUAAACUAGCAGAGAGAAAUGCUACUUAGUGCAAAAAGCGGGUAGCAAAUUCUGCCUUCAAUACUAACAUUAAAGUGUUUCCAUACAGGAUUAGGGGCUAAUCCCUCACGGAUCACCAUGGAGAAUUGGCCCUUGCUUGAGAGGGAAUGAAGCAUGAAAUCAAAGAAGUCUUUCCUGACCGACUUUAAAUGAUCUAGAUUCCGAGCAGACACACCUUGGACUGAAUAUCCACACGACCCUACCACUUCUGGAAAAGAGGGCCUCUUUUGAACCAGCCGCAGUUCCAACGCCAGCAGAGCAAGGCCAGACGCAUUCCCAACACCCCUCCCGCAGACAAUGACAAAAACCCAGAACCAAACCAAGAACAAUACGCAUAGUUCAGAGGACCCUCAUAUCGUCAGUGAGGAGGCAUGUCACAACUGCUGAUCAACACCAAAGUCCCACUAGAGGCCCUCAUCAAACUUUGCAAAAGCAAGAGUAACAGCGGAUCCCAAAUAACCCAUUAUCAGGACCAGUGUUAAUAUCCAAAUGACAAUUUGCAGAUGGCUGUACAUGGUCACCUCCCCAUGGGGGAGGUCUAACUAUUGAUAGCAUAUGGAACUGAAUGUACAGACAACUGCCCCCACAGUAGCACUAAAAUGAAUCACACAUCACGUCUGUGAGAGCCCUGUCGCUUGACGGUUCUACGUUUUGUUUUCCUUUCUUCUCCAGCCUCCAAUGUCCAACCUUGCAAUGACACAGAUAUUUGGAAAAUAUUUUGGUUGAAUCCAGAACAGAGGGGUGUAUUCAUUCUGCCUAAGAAAACAAUUAGUGGUAAAAUAUUUCAGCACACAGAAGCAAACAGAAUGAAACAGGGAGAAACAGAUUUUGUCAAACUAAAUGCAGGUAGGCCCAGGGCUGUGGUCGUCACAUUUGUAUUUGCGGGUAAUUUUCAUGCAAAUCAUUGCGGUACCACAGUCAUGUACUUAAUUAACAUAAACAUGUUGAGCACUCUGCCAAAUGCUGCUGAGUGCACACAGCUGUGUUGAGUGGUUCUAAAAGGUGUUAAUUAGAAACAGGUCCCAUUUAUAUUUGUCAAAUUUAGUUGUGAUCCAGAUCUUCAGUAAGAAAGUCUUAGAAGUCAAACAAUAUGGCAAUGCUAUGCAUGUGACUCGACAUUGCUUGUGCUGGGCGCUUUAUGACGAGAGGAAAAAUUUGCUGCUACUGCUUUUCACAAGAGUGACACAUGUAGCUUGUUGUUUUGGAAGAUUAUGAAACUGGCUUCAUCCACUUAACUCUUAAUCAAAAUAAAUGUAUGUGCACUUUA
ensembl:lncRNA